CUCCUCUCAGGGUUGCACCUGGAGAGUUUCCAGUACUCUAUGAGCCUCGACUAUGAGAGGGAGAGUAUAGCAGAGGCACAUCCGUUCCAUUUCUAAUUUGGGCAGUGGUUAGCAAGUGGAAGGCAAUCUGCCACAAGU